rnacentral:rRNA from 1 species
UACGGGGGGAGCAAGCGUUGUUCGGAUUUACUGGGCGUAAAGGGCGCGUAGGCGGCGCAACAAGUCACUUGUGAAAUCUCCGGGCUUAACCCGGAGCGGCCAAGUGAUACUGUCGUGCUAGAGUGCGGAAGGGGCUACUGGAAUUCUCGGUGUAGCGGUGAAAUGCGUAGAUAUCUGGAGGAACACCGGUGGCGAAGGCGGCAUCCUGGACCGGCAUUGACGCUGAGGAGCGAAAGCCAGGGGAGCAAACGGG